rnacentral:rRNA from 1 species
UACGGGGGGGGCAAGCGUUGUUCGGAAUUACUGGGCGGAAAGGGCUUGUAGGCGGCCAACUAAGUCAGACGUGAAAUCCCUCGGCUUAACCGGGGAACUGCGUCUGAUACUGGAUGGCUUGAGUUCGGGAGAGGGAUGCGGAAUUCCAGGUGUAGCGGUGAAAUGCGUAGAUAUCUGGAGGAACACCGGUGGCGAAGGCGGCAUCCUGGACCGACACUGACGCUGAAAAGCGAAAGCCAGGGGAGCAAACGGG